rnacentral:rRNA from 15 species
GGCGAUGGCUGCCUUGGCACGCAGGUUGCUGCAGGCCGCUGCGGAGGGCGAUGCC